rnacentral:rRNA from 1 species
GGGGGAAUAUUGCACAAUGGGCGAAGGCCUGAUGCAGCAACGCCGCGUGAAGGAUGAAGGUUUUCGGAUCGUAAACUUCUAUCAAUAGGGACGAAACAAAUGACGGUACCUAAAUAAGAAGCCCCGGCUAACUACGUGCCAGCAGCCGCGGUAAUACGUAGGGGGCAAGCGUUAUCCGGAAUUACUGGGUGUAAAGGGAGAGUAGGCGGCAUGGUAAGCCAGAUGUGAAAGCCCGCGGCUUAACUGCGGGAUUGCAUUUGGAACUAUCAAGCUAGAGUACAGGAGAGGAAAGCGGAAUUCCUAGUGUAGCGGUGAAAUGCGUAGAUAUUAGGAAGAACACCAGUGGCGAAGGCGGCCUUCUGGACUGAAACUGACGCUGAGGCUCGAAGGCGUGGGGAGCAAACAGGAUUAGAUACCCUGGUAGU